GAUGAACGCUGGCGGCGUGCCUAAUACAUGCAAGUCGAGCGAACGGAAGAGAAGCUUGCUUCUCUGAUGUUAGCGGCGGACGGGUGAGUAACACGUGGAUAUCCUACCUAUACAACUGGGAUAACUUCGGGAAACCGGAGCUAAUACCGGCUAAUAAUUCGAACCGCAUGGUUUAAAAGGCAAAGACGGUCUUGCUGACACUCAUAGAUGGAUACGCGCUGCAUUAGAUAGUUGGUAAGGUAACGGCUUACGAAGGCAACGAUGCAUAGCCGACCUGAGAGGGAGGACGGGCACCCGGGAACUGAGGCCGGGUCCAGACUCUGAGGGUGAGCCACGGUAGGAAAUCUUCCGGGAUGGAGGAAAGCCUGAUGGAGCAAAGCCGCGUAAAUGCUGAAGGACUUCCGAUCGGAGAGCUCUGUUAUUAGGGAAGAACAUAUGUGUAAGUAACUGUGCACAUCUUGACGGUACCUAAUCAGAAAGCCACGGCUAACUACGUG
rnacentral:rRNA from 1 species